UACGGAGGGGGCUAGCGUUGUUCGGAAUUACUGGGCGUAAAGCGCACGUAGGCGGAUCAGUCAGUCAGGGGUGAAAUCCCGGGGCUCAACCCCGGAACUGCCUUUGAUACUGCUGGUCUGGAGGUCGAGAGAGGUGAGUGGAAUUCCGAGUGUAGAGGUGAAAUUCGUAGAUAUUCGGAGGAACACCAGUGGCGAAGGCGGCUCACUGGCUCGAUACUGACGCUGAGGUGCGAAAGCGUGGGGAGCAAACAGG
rnacentral:rRNA from 1 species